GCUAGCUACAGGCUUAACACAUGCAAGUCGAGGGGCAGCAUGGUCUUAGCUUGCUAAGGCCGAUGGCGACCGGCGCACGGGUGAGUAACGCGUAUCCAACCUGCCUUACACUCUUGGACAGCCUUCUGAAAGGGAGAUUAAUACAAGAUGUUAUCAUGAGUAAGCAUUUUCGCAUGAUUAAAGGUUUACCGGUGUAAGAUGGGGAUGCGUUCCAUUAGAUAGUAGGCGGGGUAACGGCCCACCUAGUCUUCGAUGGAUAGGGGUUCUGAGAGGAAGGUCCCCCACAUUGGAACUGAGACACGGUCCAAACUCCUACGGGAGGCAGCAGUGAGGAAUAUUGGUCAAUGGACGAGAGUCUGAACCAGCCAAGUAGCGUGAAGGAUGAAGGUUCUAUGGAUUGUAAACUUCUUUUAUACGGGAAUAAACGAAUCCACGUGUGGAUUUUUGCAUGUACCGUAUGAAUAAGGAUCGGCUAACUCCGUGCCAGCAGCCGCGGUAAUACGGAGGAUCCGAGCGUUAUCCGGAUUUAUUGGGUUUAAAGGGAGCGUAGAUGGGUUGUUAAGUCAGUUGUGAAAGUUUGCGGCUCAACCGUAAAAUUGCAAUUGAUACUGGCAGUCUUGAGUACAGUUGAGGUAGGCGGAAUUCGUGGUGUAGCGGUGAAAUGCUUAGAUAUCACGAAGAACUCCGAUUGCGAAGGCAGCUUACUAACCUGUAACUGACAUUGAUGCUCGAAAGUGUGGGUAUCAAACAGGAUUAGAUACCCUGGUAGUCCACACGGUAAACGAUGAAUACUCGCUGUAGGCGAUAUACAGUCUGCGGCCAAGCGAAAGCAUUAAGUAUUCCACCUGGGGAGUACGCCGGCAACGGUGAAACUCAAAGGAAUUGACGGGGGCCCGCACAAGCGGAGGAACAUGUGGUUUAAUUCGAUGAUACGCGAGGAACCUUACCCGGGCUUAAAUUGCAACCGAAUAUGGCGGAAACGCUAUAGCUAGCAAUAGCGGUUGUGAAGGUGCUGCAUGGUUGUCGUCAGCUCGUGCCGUGAGGUGUCGGCUUAAGUGCCAUAACGAGCGCAACCCUUGCCGAUAGUUACUAACAGGUCAUGCUGAGGACUCUGUCGGGACUGCCAUCGUAAGAUGUGAGGAAGGUGGGGAUGACGUCAAAUCAGCACGGCCCUUACGUCCGGGGCUACACACGUGUUACAAUGGGGGGUACAGAGGGCUGCUACCACGCAAGUGGAUGCCAAUCCCAAAAACCUCUCUCAGUUCGGAUUGAAGUCUGCAACCCGACUUCAUGAAGCUGGAUUCGCUAGUAAUCGCGCAUCAGCCACGGCGCGGUGAAUACGUUCCCGGGCCUUGUACACACCGCCCGUCAAGCCAUGGGAGCCGGGGGUACCUGAAGUGCGUAACCGCAAGGAGCGCCCUAGGGUAAAACUGGUGACUGGGGCU
rnacentral:rRNA from 1 species